AAAAUAAUUAGAUGCAAAUAAAUAAUUAAAUUGUUAUAUAUGUUGUUACAUCAGGGAUCGCCAUUACCUGUUUACGGUGGUGCACCUGGUGCAGAGAUUUUUUCUCUCUUGUUUGGUCAUUUUGUUAGGGCUUAAUGAAAUUGGAGUAGUUUUUCCCCACUGUAAAUUUCAAAUCAGAAGUCACAUGAUAAACAAACUUGUAUCAAAGGUUGUGAGUAUUUACAACAUUUAACAAAACUUCCAUCCAUUUUUUAUAGGUAGCAGACUUGCAGUGUUCUCCCCAGGCCAUUACAGCAUUGCAGUUAUCAGAACUACCACAUUUCAAAGCUGUGCUAUUGGACAGACUGCAGCCCCAUCCAAUCAAAUCCCCACACUAUAGAUUUUUAAUUUUCAAAUUUCCUGUGUUAACCUGUACAAUUUGGGUAAUGUGAUCACCGGGAUUAUUUGUCAGAGACCUUUUUCUUUCUGGAGGUUUUUUUCACUAAAAAGUAUAAACAAUAAAUGGGGAAUGUGUCCAUGGGACACAGAUGAUGCCCCCCCUUGCAUAUAAUGUUAUAAAGGGACAUAACUCAAGAACAGUAAAAGUGAUGCUACCCAAAUUCGUACUUGAUCUAAGUUUUGAGGUAAUAAGCAUUGUGUAUAAGUUUCAUAAUAUUUGGUUGAGGCAUACUUAAGUUAGAGAACGGAAACAAAUAAAUGGGGAAUGUCACUGAUGAUGCCCCCACUUGCAUAUAAUGUUAUAAAGGGACAUAACUCAAGAACGGUAAAAGUGACGCUACCCAAAUUUGGACUUGAUCUGAGUUUUGUGGUAAUUAGCAUUGUGUAUAAGUUUCAUAACAUUUGGUCAGUGUUCGCCCCAGGGCCUUUUAGCAUCAUGGUAAUGUGAUGCUAUAUUUCUUGAAUUGGUUUUCUUAUAGAUUACGUUAUGGAUGUAAUGCUAUAUUUUUAGAAACAAGAUGGUAUUUCAAAUUUCCCUGUUUACCAGGAUGCUAUAUGAAAUAUCUAGGGAGAACACUGUUGGUUGAGGCAAACUUAAGUAAGAGAACAGAAACGAAAAAUUCAGCAAUUUUUCCAUUUGUAAAGGGGCAUAACUCUAGAACGGUAAAUGUGACAUCACCAAAAUUCACACUUGAUCGGUGUUUUGUGGUAAUAAGCAUUCUGCAUAAGUUUCAUAACAUUUAGUUGAGGAAAACUUAAGAUAGAGAACAGAAAGAAAAAUUCAGCAAUUUUCCAUUUGUAAAGGGGCAUAACUCUAGAAUGGUAUAAGUGUCGCCAUAAAAAUUCAAAAAUGGAUCUGUGUUUUGUGGUAAAUAGCAUUUUGUAUAAGUUUCAUAACAUUUUGUUGAGGCAAACUUAAGUUAGAGAACGGAAACCAAUUUUGGGACGUACAUACGGACGGACAUGGUAAAACUUAAUGCCCCCUCCGCUACGGGGGGGGGGGGG